rnacentral:rRNA from 1 species
GAUGCGGGUGCUAUACUGCAGUCGAGCGAAUGGAUUAAGAGCUUGCUCUUAUGAAGUUAGCGGCGGACGGGUGAGUAACACGUGGGUAACCUGCCCAUAAGACUGGGAUAACUCCGGGAAACCGGGGCUAAUACCGGAUAACAUUUUGAACCGCAUGGUUCGAAAUUGAAAGGCGGCUUCGGCUGUCACUUAUGGAUGGACCCGCGUCGCAUUAGCUAGUUGGUGAGGUAACGGCUCACCAAGGCAACGAUGCGUAGCCGACCUGAGAGGGUGAUCGGCCACACUGGGACUGAGACACGGCCCAGACUCCUACGGGAGGCAGCAGUAGGGAAUCUUCCGCAAUGGACGAAAGUCUGACGGAGCAACGCCGCGUGAGUGAUGAAGGCUUUCGGGUCGUAAAACUCUGUUGUUAGGGAAGAACAAGUGCUAGUUGAAUAAGCUGGCACCUUGACGGUACCUAACCAGAAAGCCACGGCUAACUCGUGCCAGAGGCGGAAAAAAAAUUUCUAAAA